rnacentral:rRNA from 1 species
GUGAGGAAUAUUGGUCAAUGGGCGGGAGCCUGAACCAGCCAAGUCGCGUGAAGGAAGAAGGAUCUAUGGUUCGUAAACUUCUUUUGCAGGGGAAUAAAGUGCAGGACGUGUCCUGUUUUGUAUGUACCCUGAGAAUAAGGAUCGGCUAACUCCGUGCCAGCAGCCGCGGUAAUACGGAGGAUACGAGCGUUAUCCGGAGUUAUUGGGUUUAAAGGGUGCGUAGGUGGUUUGAUAAGUCAGCGGUAAAAGUUUGCGGCUUAACUGUAAAAAUGCCGUUGAAACUGUCGGACUUGAGUAUAAAUGAGGUAGGCGGAAUGCGUGGUGUAGCGGUGAAAUGCAUAGAUAUCACGCAGAACUCCGAUUGCGAAGGCAGCUUACUAAGCUACAACUGACACUGAAGCACGAAAGCGUGGGGAUCAAACAGGAUUAGAAACCCUAGUAGUCC